rnacentral:rRNA from 1 species
AAAAUUUGGCGGUGUUUUAGUAGUUCAGAGGAACCUGUUUUAUAAAUGAUAGUCCACGUUUUAUUAGUCUUUAUUAAUUAAUUUGUAUAUCGUCGUAGUUGGAGUAUUUUAUUAUUUAAUAUUUUCAGAUCAAGGUGCAGUUUAUAAUAAAGUAGGAAUGGGUUACAUUAAAAAAAAUGAUUGUAAUGGAUUUGAAAGUAAGCUCUAAAAUAUGCACAUAUCGCCCGUCGCUUUCAUAUAAGAUGAAAUAAGUCGUAACAAAGUAGAUUUAUUGGAAAAUGAAUCUAGAAUGCAAAUUAGAGCUUGAUAAGUAUUUUAUUUACAUUAAAAGGUUAAUUGUGAAAUUCAAUUUAAUUUGAAUUUAUAUUAUUAUUUAUUAAGAUUUAUUUUUAGUUUUGAUUAAAGUUUUUGAUGUUUUAAUUUUUAAUAGAAAAAAUUUGAUUAUAGUUAAUAGUAUUGUGAAAGAAUUAAAUUUAAUUUUUAAAAAAAAAAAUUAUUUGUUGUACCUUGGGUAUCAGGGUUUAUUAAUUUGUAGUUCUCGAAUUUAAAAGAGUUAAUUUUAUUGUGGAAUAAAUAUUUAUAAUUCUUAUUUAGUAAUGAAACGUUAAUCGUUUCUAAUUAUAUCUAGUUUUUUAAGAAAUAAAUUUAAUAGACAUUAAUAUCAUAUAAUUAAUAGGGGAUAAGCUUUUAAAUAAAUAAUUAAAAAAAACUUUUUUAAGAUAAUUUAUAGGAUUAGAAUUUUCUAUUAAUAAAAGGAUGUUAUAAUUAGUGAUUUUAAAUUAUUUAUUAAAAUAUUAGUUUUAAUUUUUAAGAUUAAGAAAUUAUGAUAAAAUUAGUAAGAUAAUAUAAAGGAAUUCGGCAAUAUAUUUUUCUACCUGUUUAUUAAAAACAUGUCUUUUUGAAUAUAAUUUAAAGUCUGACCUGCCCAAUGAUUAAAUGGCCGCAGUAUCUUGACUGUGCAAAGGUAGCAUAAUCAUUAGUUUUUUAAUUGAAAGCUGGAAUGAAAGGUUUGAUAAGAAAAUAACUGUCUCUAUAAAUUUAUUUUUAAGUAAAAAAGCUUAGUUAAUUUAGGAAGACGAGAAGACCCUAUAGAGUUUUAUUGUGGUUUAAAAUUAAUAUUA